ACAGAACAGAUCUGCACUUCUAGAGAGAGCCAAAGCUUCAGUGAAAGGCCCUAUUCAAAUAGCAGAGGCACAGAGACAAACUGCCUCACAGCUGAGACAAAGAGAGGAAGACUGGACCUUAAGAGAGGAGCUGGCCUCUGAGGGGGCCUCUUUCCAGCAGGGUGGCCUGGACUUCUUUACAUAGCAGUUGGGUUCUAAGGGAAAAGCAGAAGCUGGAAGUGGCCGUUCUCCGAAGGCCUGUCUGCGCUCAGAAAUCCCGGAUGUUAUGUCUGCUGCAUUUUACUGGUCAAAGCAAGGUCGUCCACACCAAAGGAGUGAGCUCACACACACUGAAGAGUAGAGGAGGCAACAAAUGGCUUCUAAACGUGGGAUCGAACUCGGGACCUUGUGCUUGCGAGCCAGGCGCCGGAACCACUGAGCUAAAUCCUUGGCCCUGGUUUAUUAAUUUUUGAUUGCCUUUUUUCCACUGCUAUCUGGAGAUGGAGUAGAACCCUGACUUCCAAUCAAAUAGCAUACCAUUUUAAGAUUAUGUAUUAAAAAUCUGAUUGAUCAUUGUACUUCAAAGGUUUUUUAGCUCUAUGUCACAACAAUUGUAACAAAUGAAUGUCUUUAAAAACUCUGUUUUGUUACUUCUUGGGAAUAUAAGACUGAAUUUGGCAAGUAGGUGUUUUAUUGGUCUUAACUUGCUGAAUGGUAGGCUGUAAACCUUAAGUAUGUCCCAACAACUCAUAAAGAAAUAAAGGCCCCAGUUAAAAAAAAAACAAACUCUGAUGAUUGGGAUCUUAGACUACUAACCUCACUACAUUUCAUCUGGUAGUCUUUCUGAAAACAUAAUGUUCAAUUUUUAUCAUUUUUCUCUUCCUAACGAUGGUAAGAAAGUUAUUUAUUUAGCAGUGCUGGAGACUGUUAGACAAGCAUUCUGUUACUGAGCUUCACCUUUUGCCCAUAAAAGUGUUUUUUUUUUUAAAAAAAAAU
ensembl:lncRNA